AUCGCUUCUCGGCCUUUUGGCUAAGAUCAAGUGUAGUAUCUGUUCCUAUCAGUUUAAUAUAAGUAUUCAACAUCAGGUGACUCAAAGGAAAAUUAAUAGCCAUUGUAAAACAAUACAUUGUCCUGCAGUUUAGGCCCU
rnacentral:snRNA from 1 species